AGUCUAGAAAACUUCACUGACGGU
rnacentral:miRNA from 1 species